GAGUGGGUUGCAAAAGAAGUAGGUAGCUUAACCUUCGGGAGGGCGCUUACCACUUUGUGAUUCAUGACUGGGGUGAAGUCGUAACAAGGUAACCGUAGGGGAACCUGCGGUUGGAUCACCUCCUUACUUUAAAGAAGC
rnacentral:rRNA from 1 species